rnacentral:rRNA from 1 species
GCUGGCGGCAGGCCUAACACAUGCAAGUCGAGCGGUAGAGAGAAGCUUGCUUCUCUUGAGAGCGGCGGACGGGUGAGUAAUGCCUAGGAAUCUGCCUGGUAGUGGGGGAUAACGUUCGGAAACGGACGCUAAUACCGCAUACGUCCUACGGGAGAAAGCAGGGGACCUUCGGGCCUUGCGCUAUCAGAUGAGCCUAGGUCGGAUUAGCUAGUUGGUGAGGUAAUGGCUCACCAAGGCGACGAUCCGUAACUGGUCUGAGAGGAUGAUCAGUCACACUGGAACUGAGACACGGUCCAGACUCCUACGGGAGGCAGCAGUGGGGAAUAUUGGACAAUGGGCGAAAGCCUGAUCCAGCCAUGCCGCGUGUGUGAAGAAGGUCUUCGGAUUGUAAAGCACUUUAAGUUGGGAGGAAGGGUUGUAGAUUAAUACUCUGCAAUUUUGACGUUACCGACAGAAUAAGCACCGGCUAACUCUGUGCCAGCAGCCGCGGUAAUACAGAGGGUGCAAGCGUUAAUCGGAAUUACUGGGCGUAAAGCGCGCGUAGGUGGUUUGUUAAGUUGGAUGUGAAAUCCCCGGGCUCAACCUGGGAACUGCAUUCAAAACUGACUGACUAGAGUAUGGUAGAGGGUGGUGGAAUUUCCUGUGCAGCGGUGAAAUGCGUAGAUAUAGGAAGGAACACCAGUGGCGAAGGCGACCACCUGGACUAAUACUGACACUGAGGUGCGAAAGCGUG